rnacentral:rRNA from 1 species
AUGGAUUCGCUCCUACCUGGUUUCCCGCCAUCAGAUGUGCCAUCCCACAGGAGGUCGAGAUCAAUGGGACAUCAGAACUUCAUGAGUAUAGAGUUACAACAAAUAGAGGGGAUGACCUCGGAGUUCACACUCCAGCUGUUAGACCAUAUUACAAAUCAUUUUUCUGAGGAGAGCAUAAUUGGCCGUGGUGGGUCUGGAGUAGUUUACAAGGGUGAAUUGGAUAACGGUGAAGAGAUUGCUAUGAAGAAGCUUCAUCAAAUGCCUGGGCUUGACGAGAAGCAAUUUACGAACGAAUUCAACAAUCUUAUGAGAGCGAAACAUAAAAAUAUUAUACGGUUAGUUGGCUACUGCUACUAUCUAGGACAUGAACGUGUAGAGCACAAAGGAAAAUAUGUUUUUGCUCAUGUGCAAGAAAGACUACUCUGUUAUGAAUACUUGCAAGGUGGAAAUCUCGACCAGCAUCUUUUUGAUGAAUUAUGCGGACUUGACUGGCACACACGGUACAAAAUAAUAAAAGGUGUAUGCGAGGGUUUAAAUUUCCUCCAUACAGGAUCAGAAGAUCCUAUCUGCCACUUGGAUUUAAAACCCGCAAACAUACUGCUGGACAAAGAUAUGACACCAAAAAUUGCAGAUUUUGGUUUGUCCAGACUCUUUGCUUCCGCACAGACCCAUAUCACGACACAAAUUAUAGGAACACUUGGAUACAUGCCUCCCGAAUUCAUAGAAAGAGGCAAAAUCACACCAAAAUUUGACAUAUUCAGUUUGGGUGUUAUAAUUAUAAAAAUAAUAGCUGGGCCUGAUGGUUACUCCAAAUUUGCAGAUAUGUCUUCUGAAGAAUUUGAUAAGCUGCUGCACCAAAACUGGGCAAAGAGGUUGCAUGAAACGAUGCCGUCCGGUACAUUGCAGGAAAUGAAGACAUGCAUGGACAUUGCAUCAAGAUGUGUGGAGAGGGAUGAAGAGAAAAGGCCAUGCAUAAGCGAGAUUAUCCAUGAACUGUAUAAGAUUGACAGUGGCAUUAUUAACGAACCAAAUCAGAAUUACAGUGACAUUCUGGAUAAACAAGACAAGCUUGAUGGUCACCUUGUCGAUGAAGUGGAUAAGAUCGGUGGUAACAUUGCGGCCAAGAUUGAGGCGAACAUUAUCAAUGAACAAGAUAAGAAAUCCUUGGAGAGAAUGAGUAGGCUUGUUGUUUCCCCACGUUGCGUGUGGGCAUCAUCGGCGCUGGCCCGUCAGGGCUCGCUGUUGCGGCCAGCCUCCGCGAGCGCGGCGUGCCAUUCGCCGUGCUUGAGCGAGAGGACUGCAUCGCCUCGCUGUGGCAGAAGCGCACCUACGACAGUCUCAAGCUCAACCACCCGAAGCAGUUUUGCAACCUCCCACGCAUGCCAUUCCCGGCUGACUACCCGGAGUACGUCACCCGCCGCCAAUUCAUUGACUACCUCGAGACAUACGCCGCCACGUUCGACAUCACGCCGGAAUUCAACCACACCGUCCAGUCAGCGCGCUUCGACAAGGUUGGUGGCCUGUGGCGCAUUCGGGCACGGGUCGCGGAAACGGAAGAUGCCGCCGAGUUUGAGUACAUUAGCCGCUGGCUGGUUGUGGCCACCGGCGCCAACGCUGAGCCAGUCGUCCCGGACAUCCCGGGCCUAG